rnacentral:lncRNA from 1 species
CGGGGAUGGACAGAGAAGAAACACCCCAACUUCUCUCCCACUGCGGGCUCCUGGGUAGUUCUCACUGACUGAUCACAACAGAGCAUGGAGCACGAGGCAGCCCAGGUGAUGUGAUUGUUUGGGACCACAGCCCUCCCAGGUGCAGAGCAAGGCAGGGAAGGGAUUUGAGGGCAGAGCAAAUGGAGAUGAACUAACACACACAGCUUGCAAACAGCUUUGCCCCCAAAUCCAUCAGAACACGCUGGUGUCGCUGGUGUGAGAUAGACACUGCUCUUCUCUCCGUGCGGCUUUGUGGCCCCCACCUCCCGACCUGGGAAACCAUCCAGAAGCGGUUGCUACUGGGACACCUGCUGUCACUACCACCUCCCAUUGUAUGAAACAGGAAUCCUGAAGCUCUCAGAAAUGGGACGAGGUCUGGCCCUUACUCCAGAGUGGUUGCUGUCCCUUCUCUUCACCUGAUUUCCUAGUGGCAGUGUUGAACUUGUCUUCUGUGGAGCAUAGCCAUCACAAGGAAGCCUCUCUACAUUCUGGUUUGCCUGGGUGAAGAGGCUUCAAAGUCAGGAAAUCCAGGUGAGUUUCAAGGAGCCGUGUACGG